GACGAACGCUGGCGGCGUGCCUAACACAUGCAAGUCGAGCGGGUUGAAGCGAGGGGUAACUCGAGUUUCUACCUAGCGGCGGACGGGUGAGUAACGCGUGGGCAACCUGCCUCAAGGACUGGGAUAACAGCUCGAAAGGGCUGCUAAUACCGGAUAAGCCUAUGGCCUCGCAUGGGGCCAUGAGCAAAGGGGAAACCCGCCUUGAGAUGGGCCCGCGUCCCAUCAGCUAGUUGGUGAGGUGAAGGCUCACCAAGGCGACGACGGGUAGCCGGCCUGAGAGGGUGACCGGCCACACUGGGACUGAGACACGGCCCAGACUCCUACGGGGGGCAGCAGUGGGGAAUCUUGCACAAUGGGCGAAAGCCUGAUGCAGCGACGCCGCGUGAGCGAAGAAGGCCUUCGGGUUGUAAAGCUCUGUCUGGAGGGACGAAGGAAGUGACGGUACCUCCGGAGGAAGCCACGGCUAACUACGUG
rnacentral:rRNA from 1 species